AGUAACUGCGAGUGAAGCGGCAAAAGCUCAAAUUUGAAAUCUGACGUUUUUGACGUCCGAAUUGUAAUUUGGAGGGAUAUCUUCGGAGCUGGCGCUGUCUUAAGUUCUUUGGAACCAGACAUCAUAGAGGGUGAGAAUCCCGUGCCUGGAUGGCUGUCCGGCUCCAUGUGAAGUGUCUCCGACGAGUCGAGUUGUUUGGGAAUGCAGCUCAAAAUGGGUGGUAAAUUUCAUCUAAAGCUAAAUAUUGGCGAGAGACCGAUAGCGCACAAGUAGAGUGAUCGAAAGAUGAAAAGCACUUUGAAAAGAGAGUCAAAUAGUACGUGAAAUUGUUGAAAGGGAAGCGCUUGAGAUUAGAUUCGGCCGGCGGUCAUCAGCUACGUUUUUACGUUGUGCACUUGCCGUCGGUUGAGCCAGCAUCGGUUUUGAUGGCGGGAUAAAGGUUUCGGGAAUGUGGCUCCUCAAUUUAGAGGAGUGUUAAAGCCCGGAGCGCAAUGCUGCCUGUUGGGACCGAGGACCGCGCUUUGGCUAGGAUGCUGGCUAAAAGGUCUUAAGCGGCCCGUCUUGAAACACGGACCAAGGAGUCUAACAUCUAUGCGAGUGUUCGGGUGGAAAACCCUUGCGCGUAAUGAAAGUGAAUGGAGGUGGGAACCCCUUGAGGUGCACCAUCGACCGAUCCCGAUGUUUACGGAAGGAUUUGAGUAGGAGCAUAGCUGUUGGGACCCGAAAGAUGGUGAACUAUGCCUGAAUAGGGUGAAGCCAGAGGAAACCUUGGUGGAAGCUCGCAGCGGUUCUGACGUGCAAAUCGAUCGUCAAAUUUGGGUAUAGGGG
rnacentral:rRNA from 1 species